rnacentral:rRNA from 1 species
AUACGGAGGAUGCGAGCGUUAUCCGGAUUUAUUGGGUUUAAAGGGAGCGUAGGUGGGAUAUUAAGUCAGCUGUGAAAGUUUGGGGCUCAACCUUAAAAUUGCAGUUGAUACUGGUUUCCUUGAGUACGGUACAGGUGGGCGGAAUUCGUGGUGUAGCGGUGUAAUGCUUAGAUAUCACGAAGAACUCCGAUCGCGAAGGCAGCUCACCGGGCCGGAACUGACACUGAUGCUCGAAAGUGCGGGUAUCAAACAGGAUUAGAUACCCUGGUAGUCCGCACAGUAAACGAUGAAUACUCGCUGUUUGCGAUACACGGUAAGCGGCCAAGCGAAAGCGUUAAGUAUUCCACCUGGGGAGUACGCCGGCAACGGUGAAACUCAAAGGAAUUGACGGGG